GAUGAACGCUGGCGGCGUGCCUAAUACAUGCAAGUCGAGCGAACGGACGAGAAGCUUGCUUCUCUGAUGUUAGCGGCGGACGGGUGAGUAACACGUGGAUAACCUACCUAUAAGACUGGGAUAACUUCGGGAAACCGUAGCUAAUGCCGGAUAAUAUUUUGAACCGCAUGGUUCAAAAGUGAAAGACGGUCUUGCUGUCACUUAUAGAUGGAUCCGCGCUGCAUUAGCUAGUUGGUAAGGUAACGGCUUACCAAGGCAACGAUGCAUAGCCGACCUGAGAGGGUGAUCGGCCACACUGGAACUGAGACACGGUCCAGACUCCUACGGGAGGCAGCAGUAGGGAAUCUUCCGCAAUGGGCGAAAGCCUGACGGAGCAACGCCGCGUGAGUGAUGAAGGUCUUCGGAUCGUAAAACUCUGUUAUUAGGGAAGAACAUAUGUGUAAGUAACUGUGCACAUCUUGACGGUACCUAAUCAGAAAGCCACGGCUAACUACGUGCCAGCAGCCGCGGUAAUACGUAGGUGGCAAGCGUUAUCCGGAAUUAUUGGGCGUAAAGCGCGCGUAGGCGGUUUUUUAAGUCUGAUGUGAAAGCCCACGGCUCAACCGUGGAGGGUCAUUGGAAACUGGAAAACUUGAGUGCAGAAGAGGAAAGUGGAAUUCCAUGUGUAGCGGUGAAAUGCGCAGAGAUAUGGAGGAACACCAGUGGCGAAGGCGACUUUCUGGUCUGUAACUGACGCUGAUGUGCGAAAGCGUGGGGAUCAAACAGGAUUAGAUACCCUGGUAGUCCACGCCGUAAACGAUGAGUGCUAAGUGUUAGGGGGUUUCCGCCCCUUAGUGCUGCAGCUAACGCAUUAAGCACUCCGCCUGGGGAGUACGACCGCAAGGUUGAAACUCAAAGGAAUUGACGGGGACCCGCACAAGCGGUGGAGCAUGUGGUUUAAUUCGAAGCAACGCGAAGAACCUUACCAAAUCUUGACAUCCUUUGACAACUCUAGAGAUAGAGCCUUCCCCUUCGGGGGACAAAGUGACAGGUGGUGCAUGGUUGUCGUCAGCUCGUGUCGUGAGAUGUUGGGUUAAGUCCCGCAACGAGCGCAACCCUUAAGCUUAGUUGCCAUCAUUAAGUUGGGCACUCUGAGUUGACUGCCGGUGACAAACCGGAGGAAGGUGGGGAUGACGUCAAAUCAUCAUGCCCCUUAUGAUUUGGGCUACACACGUGCUACAAUGGACAAUACAAAGGGCAGCGAAACCGCGAGGUCAAGCAAAUCCCAUAAAGUUGUUCUCAGUUCGGAUUGUAGUCUGCAACUCGACUACAUGAAGCUGGAAUCGCUAGUAAUCGUAGAUCAGCAUGCUACGGUGAAUACGUUCCCGGGUCU
rnacentral:rRNA from 1 species